rnacentral:rRNA from 1 species
AUUGAACGCUGGCGGCAGGCCUAACACAUGCAAGUCGAACGAGUGGCGGACGUGUGAGUAAUGUAUGGGAAACUGCCUGAUGGAGGGGGAUAACUACUGGAAACGGUAGCUAAUACCGCAUACCGUCGGCUAUGCCCAGAUGGGAUUAGCUAGUAGGUGGGGUAAAGGCCAACUAAGGCGACGAUCCCUAGCUGGUCUGAGAGGAUGACCAGACACACUGGAACUGAGACACGGUCCAGAUUCCUACGGGAGGCAGCAGUGGGGAAUAUUGCACAAUGGGCGAAAGCCUGAUGCAGCCAUGCCGCGUGUAUGAAGAAGGCCUUCGGGUUGUAAAGUACUUUCAGCGGGGAGGCGUUACCCGCAGAAGAAGCACCGGCUAACUCCGUGCCAGCAGCCGCGGUAAUUC